AGUGAACGCUGGCGGUAGGCCUAACACAUGCAAGUCGAACGGCAGCACAGUAAGAGCUUGCUCUUACGGGUGGCGAGUGGCAGACGGGUGAGGAAUACAUCGGAAUCUACUUUUUCUUGGGUGAUAACGUAGGGAAACUUACGCUAAUACCGCAUACGACCUACGGGUGAAAGCAGGGGAUCUUCGGACCUUGCGCGAUUGAAUGAGCCGAUGUCGGAUUAGCUAGUUGGCGGGGUAAAGGCCCACCAAGGCGACGGUCCGUAGCUGGUGUGAGAGGAUGAUGAGCGACACUGGAACUGAGCGACGGUCUAGAGUCCUACGUGAGGCAGCAGUGGGGAAGAUUGGCAGAUGGGGGCAAUACUGAUCCAGCCAUACCGCGUGGGUGAAGAAGGGCUUCGGGUUGUAAAGCCCUUUUGUUGGGAAAGAAAAGCAGCAGGUUAAUACACCGCUGUUCUGACGGUAGCCAAAGAAUAAGCACCGGCUAACUUCGUG
rnacentral:rRNA from 1 species